AAUUCCCUUUGGAAACCAAAUUUCCACUCUGUAAUCGUGCCUCUGAUGAUUUAGAACUGAGUCAGUUGAACGUGAUGCCUCUGGAAUGCCAACUGGCUAUGGAAGUGUGAAGAAGCCUGUGCUGACACUUGAGCAGCACCCACAGUCCUAAAGAAGGACCAUCCCGAGAACCUCCUGGGUGCUGCGUGAUGUCACAGCGAGGUAGAGCACGGCCACUACUCUAAAAGGAAAAGAAUCUGGCUCCACCUUCCCAGGAAGAGGAAUCCGAGCAGCUUCCUACAGGCAAUUCUUUCAAGGGUUUUUUUAAAGAGCUGGACUUUCUAAAAACAGGGAAGACAAGGAGACUGCCCGGAAAGAUUUAUCAUCUGAUCCCAUUGUGAUCUUAUGAGAGGAAAGAGCAUCUUUUCCAAGAACUCUUGAUGUCACUGGAGAACUGCUGUCACAUGUUGGCCACAUGACCCCAACACUGCUUCCAUCUGUUUAUCCUGUUCUUGCCAAUCAUUGUUUAUGCCCUCACACAGGAAACAUAUGCAGCCCGUGCAGGUAAGAGGAGGAGGAGGAGGAGAAGGAAGAAUAAGGAGGACUAGCAGAAGGAGGAGGAGGACAAGGAGGGGAAGAUGAAAUGGAGAAGAGGAGGGGGAAGAGGAGAAGGUCCUUCAGUAGUGGACCAGCCUUCAUUUAAAAAUACAGCAACUGAAUAACAAGACUGUAAGGGACCUACCUGAGGUCACACAACUCGUGGUCAAGGCUAGAAGUUCUCUUCCUAUGCUGCUUCUCUUUCAUCUAUGUCAUCCAUCUUCU